CGAACGCUGGCGGCGUGCCUAAUACAUGCAAGUCGAACGGUCUUUCUAUGGAAGCUUGCUCCACUGAAAAGAUAGUGGCGAACGGGUGAGUAACACGUGGGUAACCUGCCCAUAAGAGGGGGGAUAACAUCCGGAAACGGGUGCUAAUACCGCAUAGUUUUCUUGAUCGCAUGAUCGGGAAAGGAAAGACGGCCUUUGUGCUGUCGCUUAUGGAUGGACCCGCGGCGUAUUAGUUAGUUGGUGAGGUAACGGCUCACCAAGACGAUGAUACGUAGCCGACCUGAGAGGGUGAUCGGCCACAUUGGGACUGAGACACGGCCCAAACUCCUACGGGAGGCAGCAGUAGGGAAUCUUCCGCAAUGGACGAAAGUCUGACGGAGCAACGCCGCGUGAGUGAAAGAAGGUUUUCGGAUCGUAAAACUCUGUUGUCAGAGAAGAACAAGUUGGAGAGUAACUGCUCCAGCCUUGACGGUAUCUGACCAGAAAGCCACGGCUAACUACGUGCCAGCCGCCGC
rnacentral:rRNA from 1 species